rnacentral:rRNA from 1 species
UUAAUGUCCAGGAGAGUGGCCCUCCGCAUGGAGGGUUGACUAGAGAUUUAUCGGUAUGGGAUGAGCUUGCGUCCGAUUAGCUAGUUGGCGGGGCAACGGCCCACCAAGGCGACGAUCGGUAGCCGGCCUGAGAGGGUGAUCGGCCACAUUGGGACUGAGAUACGGCCCAGACUCCUACGGGAGGCAGCAGUAGGGAAUAUUGCACAAUGGGGGAAACCCUGAUGCAGCAACGCCACGUGUGGGAAGAAGCAUUUCGGUGUGUAAACCACUGUCAUGAGGGAAUAAGGCCCGCCUCCGGGCGGGAUUGAAUGUACCUUGAGAGGAAGCACCGGCAAACUUCGUGCCAGCAGCCGCGGUAAUACGAGGGGUGCAAGCGUUGUUCGGAAUUACUGGGCGUAAAGGGAGCGUAGGCGGAGAUUCAAGCGGAUUGUACAAUCCCGGGGCCCAACCCCGGCUCUGCAGUCCGAACUGGAUCUCUUGGAUAGUUCAGGGGCAGGCGGAAUUCCUGGUGUAGCGGUGGAAUGCGUAGAGAUCAGGAAGAACACCGAUGGCGAAGGCAGCCUGCUGGGGACUUAUCGACGCUGAGGCUCGAAAGUGCGGGUAGCAAACAGGAUUAGAUACCCUGGUAGUCCGCACCGUAAACAAUGCAUACUGGGUGUCCGGGGGUUCCCCCGGGUACCGUAGCCAACGCGUUNAGUAUGCCGCCUGGGGAGUACGUACGCANGUAUGAAACUCAAAGGAAUUGACGGGGGCCCGCACAAGCGGUGGAGCAUGUGGGUUUAAUUCNAAGCAACGCGCAGAAACUUACCAGGGUUUGACAUGGGGAACGCCGCGGCGAGAGAUAAUCAC